GACGAACGCUGGCGGCGUGCCUAAUACAUGCAAGUAGAACGCAGUGGCGAACGGGUGAGUAACACGUAGGUAACUGCCUCAGAGCGGGGGAUAACGAUUGGAAACGAUAGCUAAUACCGCAUCCUGUGAGAGGGACCUGCGUUUUGUUGGGUAGUUGGUUAGGGAAAGGCUCACCAAGGCGACGAUACAUAGCCGGCCUGAGAGGGUGGUCGACCACACUUGGACUUAGACACGGCCCAGACUCCUACGGGGGGCAGCCGUAGGGGAUCUUCGGCAAUGGACGGAAGUCUGACCGAGCAACGCCGCGUGAGUGAAGAAGGUUUUCGGAUCGUAAAGCUCUGUUGUUAGAGAAGCGGUAACUACCCAGAAAGCGACGGCUAACUACGUGCCAGCAGCCGCGGUAAUUC
rnacentral:rRNA from 1 species